rnacentral:rRNA from 1 species
UACGUAGGAUCCGAGCGUUGUCCGGAUUUACUGGGUGUAAAGGGUGCGCAGGCGGACUGGUAAGUCAGGGGUGAAAUCUCGUCGCUUAACGACGAAACUGCCUUUGAUACUAUCAGUCUUGAGUCCGGUAGAGAUCUGUGGAAUUCCGAGUGUAGCAGUGAAAUGUGUAGAUAUUCGGAAGAACACCAGUGGCGAAGGCAGCAGAUUGGGCCGGUACUGACGCUCAGGCACGAAAGCGUGGGGAGCAAACAGG